AGGAGCAAAUCUGGCAUUCAAGCAUUAUGUUCAUUGCAUAUAGCACUUGAAAAAGCCAAGAAUAUUCUUCAGCAUUGCUCAGAAUGCAGCAAGCUUUAUUUGGCUAUCACUGGAGAUUCUGUUCUUUUAAAAUUUGAAAAGGCAAGAUCUGCUCUUGUAGAUAGUCUUAGGCGUGUUUACGACAUUGUCCCACAAUGUAUUGGAUGCCAGAUUUUGGAGAUUGUAAGUGAAUUGGAGGGCAUUGUGUUCUCACUUGAUCCAUUAGAGAAACAAGUGGGUGAUGAAGUAAUUGCAUUGCUUCAGCAAGGGAGAAAAUUUGAUAACUGUAAUGACAAUAAUGAGCUAGAAUCUUUUCAUCAGGCAGCCACUAAACUUGGUAU
rnacentral:misc_RNA from 1 species